AUUGAACGCUGGCGGCAGGCCUAACACAUGCAAGUCGAACGAGUGGCGGACGGGUGAGUAAUGUCUGGGAAACUGCCUGAUGGAGGGGGAUAACUACUGGGAACGGUAGCUAAUCCCGCAUACCAUCAGAUUUGCCCAGAGGGGAUUAGCUAGUUGGUGGGGUAACGGCUCACCAGGGCGACGUUCCCUCGCUGGUCUGAGAGGAUGACCGGCCACACUGGAACUGAGACACGGUCCAGACUCCUACGGGAGGCAGCAGUGGGGAAUAUUGCACAAUGGGCGCAAGCCUGAUGCAGCCAUGCCGCGUGUGUGAAGAAGGUCUUCGGAUUGUAAAGCACUUUAAGUUGGGAGGCGUUACCGACAGAAUAAGCACCGGCUAACUCUGUGCCAGCAGCCGCGGUAAUAC
rnacentral:rRNA from 1 species